CUUUGAUUCGUAGGAUUUUGUAAACAUAGGAAUAGGAUUUGUAGUUGCCUGCCCACUUGAAUCCUAUAAGAAUAGCAAGGAAAUGCGGGGAGCUGUGUCGCCUUUGAGAGUUACACUAAUAUUAACAGUACCGCACCUUCACUUGAAGAGUGCUGGUAUCCGAAGCCUUUCUAGUCGUACCGGCAAUACUAGCACAUAUAUUCCAGCAAGUUCCACUUUGCUGAUUUUACUCUGAUGCUUAAGGUUUUCCCGUUAUAUCUACACUAUGAUCUGUGUAUCUGCUUUGUGUCGCACUAGCAGCAGUCCACUCUUGAAGCUAAACACUGCAAUGACUUACAAAAUUGGCACCAAGGCAUUGAGUGCCAUUCUGGAUGCAAUGAAACUCAUACGCUCCCCACCUGUUGACUCUUGUUCAGAAUAUGAUCCUAAUGACUCUUAUUCAAAAUUGCCACAUAUAGAGAGACAGCAUGGAAUUGCAUUUCUUUGGGCGCUAUGAUUCAUCAUGAGUGGGCAACCAACAUUGUAUGCAAUGAAGCGGAACCUCAAGAAUAUGCUUCCUCUUCUGUUCUUUAACAUGUUCCUCUUUGUUUAUUCUGUAUUUAGUACGUACAGUAUGUUCCUUGUCAGGAAGGGGCGCAGGGACAUCUGCAGUCAACAGCUGAUAGAGCUGGCUUGUACGUGAUCGAUAGACUUUCAAUUACUAGCGGCAAUACAACACCGUAUUUUCAAGCCAAUUCCACUUUCCUGAUUUAUAUAUUGUGGUUAUGGUGUACCCUUGUUAUGUACACUAUGAUCUGCCUAGUUUCUGUGUUCUCUUGUUAUCAUGGUUUGGCAAUAAACUCUCUAUACAGUAUAUUAUGAACCUAUCAUCUGCCAACUAUCCUUACUUCUGGAGCCUAUUUUUUGUGUACUUGUGCCAGAUUAUAUAAAGCACGCACCAUAUUACAGCACACAUGAGCUCUCUCAUUAGAAUCCAGUGAUAGCACAUAAGUGUUUACAGGGGCGCCCCUAUAUUAGAAUAUCAUCUGCAUUACAAAGAUAAUAUCACAACUAUUUAUGUUUUCAUGGUUCUCAGAUAUUAUACGUAAUUACAAUUAAUAUUAGAAUCCGCGCAUCAGAAGAAUAUUGUGGAACACUGCAAUGACUUACAAAAUUGACACCAAGGCAUUGAGUGCCAUUCUGGAUGCAAUCAAACUCAUAUGCUCCCCACCUAUAGAUUCUUGUUCAGAAUAUGAUUCUAAUGACUAUUCUAACCUCGAUGAGUCAAAGGCAGAUGGCCUGUCAUGUUCACCCAUCAAGGUGCCUGUUAUAAUUUGGCAAGGUUUUAUUGAUUGCGCGUAUCUUGCAUAUGUUGUCUUGCAUUUCUUCUACUUUGUUGCACCACCAUCUGCUUAGUUUACUCAUCAUAUAUGUCGAGAUGCCAUGCCCAUCAUUAUCAAUACAUAUUUCAUCUGUCAUCAUACCAUGUUUUUCCACUCAAAUGUUGUUCUUGUGCAUCAGACAUCAAAAAGGAAGAGGGUGAUUGCUGAACCUGAAGGAUCACCAGCAAAGUCCUUGAAAAACGUGGUUGUGCCGGAGAAAUCAAACAGCACCCCACUUAUAUUGGUUGUACAACCAGUGACACAAAACAUAGGACCGACUCCAGCAGACUAUACCCAUACUUCACUGGCCGCACCACUAGCCCCACCACACAGGACCUGCACUCCAGCAAAAGGUAUGCCGAUUUCAGUUACCAUAGCACCAGCCAUACCACAAAAAAAAUCCCACUCCGGCAAAAAGUAUAGCAAGUCCACUGGCCGAAGACCUAUUCCAACUGUAGAGACGGCCAAUUCCUGCAGAUUGGAACCCCAUUCCAGUUAUUCCCAGUUUAAAAUACAAUGCUUUCAAUGUUGUUAGGGACUACGUGCAUAUAUUCCCAUCAUGGGAAGAUUAUAGUGAAGACAAACACCAUUUUCACAUCUUCCUGUCCCACUUACGUGUAAGUGCUAUUAUUCAAGGUUAUUAUUUCCUAUUUUCUGCUGAUUGAACACAUCAAUGAUUUACACUGCAUUGUUGUAAAUAGACGAGGAUCAAUCUGGAUGGUCAUGACGAGCAAAGCUUGCUUGUACUUUUCAAGGAAGCAUUGCAGCAGUAUCGGUGUUACCUUUUUUUUGCGGGGGAGUAUCGGUGUUACCUGAGGAAAUCACACUUUGAUGGCAAGUCUAUAAACGAAUUUCAGGUGAAGUCUCCUGUGCUAAAUUUAGAAGACAUUAAAUGGAAAAACCUUAUUAUGCACUGGUCUCAUUCCGAGGAUGAGGUACUAUCUAUGAUAUCGCAUGACAAUUUGAACUUCUACUUUUCCGCAUGUGCCUUACGGAUCUUUUUUGCAGGAAAUCUGCUCGAAAAAGAAUUCCGGUUUGAAAAGAACGACAGGAUAUCGCAAAUAUGCUACCCGCUGCUUUGCUCUUGUUAGUACCUGUUGUCUUGUAUCAUUGUACUUGUAUACAUACCUGGUUCAUUAUGUGACAGCAGUAUGCAUGAUAGCUUGCUUAUCAAUUGUUCGCUCCAAAUUAUCUGAUCUGUAUGAAUGGUUACAUUAGUGUAGAAUAUAUUCAAUACCAAUGAAAUUUUUUAGCUCUGCAUUGUUCUUGUAAGUAUCUGCUGUCCUUUAUCAGUGUACUUAUAUUGACAGGUAGUUGUUCAUGUACCAUCACUCUGCAGCUUAUUUUCCUUUACCCUCCAUUUUCUACACAUCAGAUCUAUAUUUACUCUUACCAUAAGGUUGGAUAACACCGAUGGUACUGAAGAAGUUUAGCUCUGCAUUGCUCUUGGAUGUACCUUUUGCCUAUAUCGCUGUACUUAUAUUUAUAGCUACUUGGUUAUGUAGCAUCACUCUUCAUCUUAUCUUAAAUAUUCUCCAUUUUUUCUUAUAUUGUCAAAUCUAUAUUUACUCUUAACAAAAUGUAGAAUAAAGGCAAUGCUUAUGAAGAAGAUUAUGUGGUAAACUUCUUGAAUUGCCCCCCCCCCAUCAAAAUGUACAAGGGCUUUAUAGAGCCUGUCUUCACCAAUAAUGUAAGUUUGUCCUUCUCAAGCCUUCAAACUUUGUUGUGUAUAUUUGGUUAGGCAUGACUGCAACAGUUGUUUAUUUUUGGUGUUUGCAUCAAAUUGCAUGUUUAAAGUUUAUUAUGUAGUUCAUAAACAAAAGUUUGUCCUUCUCAAUUUAAGUUUUCAGUUGUACAACCAAGUUCCUUCUUCAUGCCAUGUAAAUUAAACUAUACAGAGUAAGUGAUCUUAUUUUUCCAAUCUGAAAUGGGUAAAUUGAUAGCACACUUACCAUUGAUACUUAUGAGUUCUUGAUCUGUAAUCCAGUGGUGGCGUGAAGCUGCCAACUCCUUCAUAAUGUCAUUUCCUGCCAUGUCUUGACCUGAACAAUACCAUAUUGUGUUAAUGCUAUUUUAAACUGUGUCACUUUAUUCGUCAGUAAGAAAUGUGAUGAAUUGUCAGCACUAAUACUUAUAUGUGCAAAACCUGUCAUCUGUCUGCUUGUUUAUCUUUUAGAGUAAGGAGGAUAUAAGUGUCAAACAAGUGCAGUCUCAUUAGCUUGCUCAGCUGCUUGCGCUGCAGCUUCCGAGCGGGGCUAACCUUUCUUGAACUCUAUUGAAGUGUUGGUUUUGUAUAUUAUUUUGCCGGUGCGUUUAAUUGCACUGGUGGUGAUCUUUGAUGCCUAGUGUAUGUAAUCUGUUGUCUUCUUGUGCUUUAUUAUCAUAGUGGCGAACUUUGAUGCCCAUUGGAUGUAAUAUGUCGUAAUUUAUUUAUUGUAUAGUCUAGGUUUUUUCUUAUUCACGAUGUUCCAGUUAUUUUACUGUAUAUAUAUCUUGUCUUCGCAGUAAACCGGCCAAACCGUAAAAUUACAGUACAUAAUCGGGUCGUCAUGCAAAUCACUAUGUAUGAUCCGCAUCAUGGGCCCCGUCAUCUUGGUCCGUUAACAGGCCUAAAUGUAAACUGGCCCACUAGUAGAUUCGGGGCUUUAAUAGGCCGAGUAAACCGCCGGCCCUAUUUUCCCAGGAAAACUCAAUGGGCUUUUAGGAGGCCGAAAAGUAAGUUGGGCCUAAAACAUGCCGAACAGCUCACGGGCCGGCAGCAGGCCGAAAUAGACCCCGGCCCAUGACUAUGCCAAUCAAAUCAUGGGCUUAUAACAGGCCAAAAUUGUCUCGGUCCUUGUUUGGCCCAAUCAGAUUAUCGGUUGUGAGUAGGCCGGAUGCAAACGGGAUCGUAGUUAGGCCCAACUAUAUGACGGGCUUUUAACAGACCGAAAUAUAUAUAUGGCCAAAAUGUUAAACGGGUCUUUAACAGGCCGAAACUAAUAUCAGGCCGAAUUACUAAAUGGCCCUUUAUCAAGUGGGCCCAAAAGCAUAGCGUCCAGUUGACGGACCGAAUCUGAUAUGGGUCAUAAUUUAGCCCAAAGCCUCUCAAAGGGCCGGACCUGAUCUGGGCCGUAAUUUGGCCCAGAACGUGGGAGGCUUUUAACGGGCCGGAUCUCAUAUGGGCCUCUAUUAGGCCCGGAAUGUGGCAGACUGUUAAUGGACCGGAUCAAAUAUGGGCCGGCAUUUGGCCCAAAACAUGGCAUCCUGUUAAUGGGCCGGCCUACUAGUGUCAUCAAAAUCGUUUGGGCCUUCAGCUGGGCCGGCCCAUUAUGGGCAGCGGAAUCUCGUGGGCCUUUAGUUGGGUCGGCCCAUUAUGGUCCGCAAAGUCUUGGGGGCCUUUAGCUGGGCCGGCCCGUUAUGGCCCGCAAAAUCUCACGGGCCUUUAGCUGGGCCGGCCCAUUAUGGCCCGCAAAUACUUGUGGGCCUUUAGCUAGGCCGCCCCAUUAUGGGCCGCAAUAUCUCGUGGGCCUUUUGCUGGGCCGCCCCAUUAUGGACCACAAAAUCUUGUGGCCCUUUAGUUGGGUCGGCCCAUUUGAACUUUAUGGGCCACUUUUGGUCCGGUCCACGUGUCAACAUUUCAUAAGCGCAUCUCGGCCAUUGGAUGAGUGACACCUGUGCCAACGGGGAGCUGACACGUGUUUCCUCCAGCCAAUAAUGAUUUUACACGUGGAAAAUCCCCAUUGGUCCGGGAUGUUAAUGGGUUAUCGGAUCCAAAACGGGACCCGGUAGCUUAACGGCGUUCCAUUACGCUGGAUGCCACGUGUCGGUCACCCUUGACGAAAGCACUUCUGUGACGCGCGAUUUAUCGUCAUGGAAGUGGACACUUCCGUGAUGAUAAUUUUGGUAAUGUCAUGGAACACUUCUACGACAGCACAGGUAUGACUAUCUUGAUUCUGUCAUAAAAUCGUCAUGGAUGUACAUGCAUGACAGAAAACGCGACCUACUGUGACAAACAUGUAUCAUCAUGGAAGUGUAUUUUUUUGUAGUGUAAGCUCUUUGCCGUCGGCUGGCGGACGGCAAAGAACGUCGUUAACCCCCUAACGGCUCUCAACCAACAUCGCUGCCGUCCGUCGUCAUUGCCGUCUGCUGGCCUCGGAUGGCGGAUGGCACAAUCCUUUGCCGUUCGUUUCUACGAAGCGAACGGCAAAGAAGGCCUUUACUGGCACGUGUUCAGCCGGACGGUUUGCCGUCUGCUGGCUGACGGCAAAGGACUUUGUUGUCCGGGAUCCGUGCAUUUGCCGUUCGCCAUGGCGGACGGCAAAGAAGCUGAUUCCAGUAGUGUCAAACAACAUAUCAUUUCUAGACUUCCAAGUGCACCACGUGAAAUUGAGUAUAUUUAUCAAGGAGCCAUGUGGGUGAUUCAUAUUUAGUAAAUUCAAAAUGAUUUGAGAUAACGAGUUGCAAUUUUGAAUAAGGAUAUCGGUACGAAUGAACCAAGGCUCCAAGAACCAAGAUGCUUUGAUAAAAGGGCAAGUGAGAAAAGGUGUACAUCAUCUUCUUCAAGUCCACACCUUCCCUAUGUGUACGGAGAAUCUACCUGCUCGAGCACCAGUGGGAAGAGCCCUCCGAAGGAACCUCCAAGCAAAAGUUUGAACUCUUGGGAUUAUGGAUGUGUCUUUCCAUACUUGAUUAAGGAUUUGGCAUGAUGUUGGAGAUGGCUGCCUCGGUCUAUCCUCGCCUAAGUUAUACAAGUCCUACACACAAGCAUAAUAUACACUCUUGGCAUAGCAUCUGCCAUUGUUUGUUAGCUUCCAGCAAAGUAAAUCAUCUUCAUUUGAAUUUAGAAUAGGAGUGCACUUGACGGCCUGAGCAAUUGGAGGUCUAAAAAUAGUGUCAAUAAGCUCAUGAUUCCAUUUCUUUUGGUUAGGGACCCACAGGUCCUUGACAAGAGCAGGAUAAGUGAAUUUUGGUGCUUGAAUGAUUAAAUUUCCGUAGAUAGAAGCCCGGGAGGAGCACCAGGCUGAAUUUCAGAUAGAAACAUUGCCUACACUUCACUGAUAGAAAGAAUGGGCCUAAAGAAUGUGAAUGAUUUUGAGGAUAGAGGCCCAGAAAGCUGAUUUGGGGAUAUUGGGCUUGGGGCACCAGAUAGAUGAAUCUCGGAAUUACUUGGCCCGCCGGAUCUUGUGGAGUUGAUCAUUAGGGUUUUGAGCAAUGCGCGAGGCCGACAUGAGGAUUAAGCUUUGAUUGACCGCCUGCAAAUUCCUAAUACCCAAACCGCCUUAUUUUUUUUGAGCACGGAUGUCUUUCCAAGCUUUGAGGCAGAGCUGCGAGUGGAUUCCUCUAUGAUUCCGGUCCACCAGAAGUUCCUGAUGAUGGCUGUCAAUUUUGCAAUAAACUUCUUAGAGAACAAAAUGUUAGGCAUGUAAUAAACAUGGAUUGAGGAGAAAACAGAUUGAAUGAGUUGAAGCCGAGCUGCGUGUGAAAGUUUAUCAGCUUUAUAAGUGCUAAGCUUGGACUUCAAUUUAUCUAGGACAAAGUUAUAAGCCGAGAUUCUAUUUUUCGCCAGGAGAAGAGGGUGGCCCAAGUGAACAAAGGAAUCAUCUGCUGCAGCACCUUGGGUGGCCUAGGCAGAAAGCCAAAAUAUACACCUACCAUGGCUUGCAGCAGGCACAAACGCAAACAAGAAAUUAAUGUCAUCUCAUCCAAGUAUAAUUAACGUGCUGAGAUCCGUAAUGUUAGUAGCCAGAGAUUGACCAUACAUUUGCGGAACAAAACAUGAGUUAUUUGUAGCAAAACUAGUACAAUGAGAAACUUCUUUUGAAUACGAAUCAAACAAUAUAACUUUUGUGACAUAUCACCUAUAAUUUACAAAUCAAAUUUAUGAUCAAAGUUUGUCCCAUGGCCCCAAAAAACCAGACAAUUAGAGAGUACAUGCCAUGGCAAUUAAUUACUACUCUCGCCAUCUUCUCUUUUUGAGAGAAUGCCAUCAUGGCUGCUUUAUUUCAGCUGGUAAUAGGGUUACAUGGUUUGCAAGAUUAAGAACUAAAAGGUCAUCAACCCAAUUACAGAAAGAAUUAUUACUCCCUCCGUCUAGGUGAGUAAGUCAUCUUAGAUUGUGCACCGUGACCAAGAAGGAGGGAAACGAGAAAACUUAAUGUUCAUUUGCUAAUUAAUAGCAUUGCAUGCAAUGAACUAACCACUGCAUGUCGUGCUUGGUAGUCUCAAGUCAUUAAAAGCAUGCACACCCCACAUCUCUUAUUGGUUGAUAUGUCGAGAAACAAGAAACGAUGUAGAAUUUAAUGCACCGCGCCUAAGUGUUUUGAGAUUAUUUGGUUUUCGUAAGAUGACUUGCACACCUAGACGGAGGGAGUACCAUAGGCCAUCUUAAUGCUCAUAUGCACUCACGCUCAGUUCCAUCGAAUUGUGACGAGCAUGCUGCACCUGUUAGCAGAUUGACCACCAACAAAAGCAUAUAUGGCCAGACUUCCUUUAGAAAUGACACGUGUCCAUAUAUUGAGUCAAAGGCAGUACAGACACGCGUACGCACUACAAACAACUCGAAGGACAUGUGUCCCGGAGCACAUUGCAGAAAAGACCUUGGAAAGUCCUCCUCCCAAGGAAAGUCUCCUUCCUCCUCUCGUCGGCGCCGCCGCGGAUCCGCCCUUCCUCCAAUGGCCUUUGGCCUGUGAAGGUGCGGAGGAUCUCGCACCCCCGCCGGCGGGAGGGACCCCGUUCUCGUUUUUGCUAGGUUUAAUGUUUUCGUUGGGGCUGUGUGGCGGCGGCGAUGUCCCUCGGUAGCAAUAAUGUCUCCCACGUGCUAUCCCCAUCCCGAUGGUGCGAAUAGCGUUGUCGAAGAAUGUGGGGGUGUGUCUCCGUCGGAUCUUAUGUGAUUCGAUCGGUGCUGGUCUUCGAUGGAUCUAUUUGGAUCCAGUUUUUGUUCGUCUUUGUUUGUGUGGUUUCAGGUUUGAUCUUUCCGAUUUACAACUCUAUUCAUCGGUUGCUGCUCUGGUGUGCUGGUCCUUUGGGGCCUUAGCACGACGACUUCCUGACUGUCUGCUACAACAAAUUUUGCCCGGCUCCGGUGAUGGACGGGCGAUGACGGCAGCGCCCCUUCGGCUCGCUUCAGUGCUUGUAGUCGUCGCCAUGUGGUCCAUAGACCCGGCUGUAAUUUUUAUUACCUCUUGUGUUCCCUGUACUGCCCUGAUUAAUGAAUAGAUUGGAAAUUUCUCUCGCAGAAAAAAGACCUUGAAAAGCAAAAAUUACAAGAAAGUCCUUCUAAGUCCUUUCCCCUGCGUCUUUGACAGGAUCGAACUACUCCCUCCUUUCCGGUUUAUAAGGCUCAAUUUAAAAAUCUCACCGACCAAGGUAGAUGGUGAAUGAUGGAAUAUUUUUUAUAGUUUGCAAAAGCACCUAAUUAAUGCUCUUGUUUUUCUCAAAAAAUUAUAUUUAUCAAUGCAUUAAUUGCAAUGCAUGCAUGCAUAAAAUACAUGCAUUGGUCAAUUUUCUCUCAAUAUUUGCAUGCAAUGAUUUAAUGCACCUUGGAAUCUGAACAUGUGAUGGAAAACAACCAAAUUGAGCCUUAGGCUGGUCAUAGUGGGAGUAACAUAGCAAGUAACAUAACACAUCCCAAGAAAAGUUUGCUUACAUGUCAUGUAUUUAAUGAGGAGAGAGAUGGUUGGAGUAACAUAAUAUGUUACUGUAACAUAACACAUCCCAAGGCAAAAUGAGUCUACAUCUUAAUAAAUGAUGGCUUGCAUGUUACUACAUACAUGUUACUCCCCACUAUGAAGGUGGUAACAUAGACUAGUAAGCCCUAUAAAAUGGGAAAACCAAAAUUUUGAGAUAAGCCCUAUAAACCGGAAAGGAGGGAGUAGCACUCAAACAUGACACAGGUGGAUUCAAACAUGAACGAGCCUCAAAUCGCAGAGGAACUAGCUAGGGUUUUGAUUAGGGAGGAAAGUAGAGGUCAAUCACUCGAGUGACGGCUCGGGUUUACAACCCGGUUUACGAGCUUGACAGCGAGCUGAGCAGAUAGAUACAGUAAAAGCGCGUGCAACAGUGAUUUGAUCGUAGCCGUUGAUGACGCCUUUAUUAACUCUGUGUAGCGCUUCGUUGGUUGACCACUGUACAGCAGUGCCCUUGAGGUAGGACACAGCAAAUAUAGUCCUUGGAUCCAGUGGGGUUCAUGUUGUGUCAAAGUACCGUUCAAUUGUCUGUAUCCAAUGUGCAGUAUCCUCCCCUGCAAACUCAGGAAUAUUGAGCUUAGCAGGUUUGACACUGACAACCCCUCUUCUUGCGUCAUGUAGGUUACUGCUUCUAUGUGUGGUGUGUUUGUUUCCAGGUUCCACUCCCUCAUCUUCAGAGACAUACACGGCCACACAGGGGGUUCUGGUUUGUGUAGCUGAAGGGAGUUUAUCUGUUGCUGACCAUGGUGAGCGUGCCUGUAGAGGGGUCUGGUCGCCAAAUCUGCUGGGUUGUCCUAAUUGGCCGUGUAAUCAGGCACUCACCAGGACAUGCGUCUAGGGGGCUUCCUGGUUGAUUCUGCCUUUUCCACGGAAAACCCCUAGGUCUUUGUUGCCAGCAAGUAUGCCUGGAGUUCCAAGGGGUCCAUCAGCAGAGAUGAGUUUGCCCAGAUUAGGUUGUUCAAACAAGAAUCUGUCAAAACUCUUUCUUGAUCAGUGAAGUUUUGCAUGACAGAGUGCGUUCCUGCCGAUCAGUUGCACGAUGUUGUUGAAGAGUUGGAACAUCCAGUUUAUGAAAUCCAUUGGAGGGGCCAUGAUUCAGUCAGGGUUUAUGACCCGCGCUACCUGUUUCUAAUGCCACCCAACACCGCCGCCGAAGUGCACCGGAAAGGGAGGGUGGGUGGCAUUUUACCGCUGCAGAGGUGUUCUGAAGCAACCACUCUCAAGCCCAGACCUGCACUCGAGCAAUCUACCACCGCCUGCGCCACGAGCUGCCACCGGGAUCUGGGGCGGAGUCAAAGCUCCCCUACUUCCCCGAACCCACUACGCCGCCGAGAACCAUAAACUCUGAUUACCAAUUGGCAGGAUCAAACUAGCACUCAAACAUCACACGGGUGGAUUCAAACAUGAACUAGCCUCAAAUCACCGAGGAACUAGCUAGGGUUUUGAGAGGCCAGCCACUCUAGUGGCGGCUACAACCCGGUUUACAUAUGUGCCUCUCCUGAAUGGAUCUGAGAUCCUUAUAAAGCAGAGAAAGUUGCACAUGAUUUAUACCAAAAAUAAAUGGGCAGACUCAAAACUAAAUUAAUAUAUGAUGACAUCAAAGACCAAAUUUAAUAUGUAUCUUUUUGCUGACGCUUGAGGUGCCAUAGGGCAGCAGAUGCAUGAAUGAUAAAGUGCAACGUAGCACAAUUUAUACAAUAUGAAGGUAUGAAAGGGAAGAAAAUCAUGCGCGAAAUAAAAUGAAUGCAGGAACAACUAAACAGGACCGCUGAGCGAAGAAACAGAACAUUCAAGUAACAAAGGAUGUACAGUUGCAAAUAAUAGCAUUGUUUGAACAGAAGAUGUGAAGCCAUCUGCCGCUUCCCAGGGCCCUCAGCACACAGGAUUGUUUUUUUAUUAAACAAAGUAGAACCUCUUGAUGCAUCAGUAAUUCAAAGCUUUCUGAGUAUGCAAGGCAAAAUAGCUCAACAUCCAGUUCGCUAUGAGCAUUUCUCGUAAGUGUUGUAGACGACAAAAUAUACUACAGUUAGAUCCCAAUACUGCUAUAAAUCAUUAACAGAUUACAAGAUUAUAUGCAUAAUCACAUAACCACAAAUUGUAGAAAGAGAGGUCGUAUUUAUUAAAAGAAGAAAUGGGAGGCUCAGAGUUGGCUCGUCUAUCAUAUGGGCAAAACGCACUCUGUAUCCGAUACACUUGGUGAUACACGUUGGAGAUGCCCCUGUGUGACAUUUCAGCAUUCCAAUGGUUGCUCACGGAAAGCAAGCAAUCCUCAUUUGAACGCUUCCACCUAGUCACACAAAACCCUAACACAUACCAUAAAUACAAGUGAUGGUAUCUGAGAUCUCAAUAAACCCCUGAAUGAGCGCCUUACUCAUCAUCGUCAUCAACAGCACUUUGGCGCAAAUCCCACAAAGAGAAUAACAGAUGACCAGAAACCACAGGAGAAUCAGUAAAAGCAGAAAGAAUCACUAUAUCAGGAGCAAAUCAUGAACUGGUGAACACAAAAACUGGAACAUGUAUAAGUAAAUGGCUCAGAUACACUUCCAUCUCAACACCAUAAGUGAAUUUCUGGUAGGAUGACCAUGAACAUUUAUAGUAUUUGUGAACGGAGGGAGUAAUAGUUAGCCGCUAAACUGGUUACUUGCUGUGACACAAGCCAUCCUAGUUUAGCACCAAGUGAAUCAAUUCAGGUGUUAGAUAGAAGCUCUCACAGGGACGCUAUAUCAUCACAGCCAUUCAUGAACAUGACACGAAGAAAACAGUAAUCUUAACAUGCCAUAUACGACCCUUAAGUUGAAACUUGAAACCAGUAAAGAAGUAACGAGAAACCAAAAGUACAAACUGAUAAGUAGAUAAAGAAUACAGCAGAAGAAUGAAAUUAUCAAGUCAAAUUGAUAGGGAGACGGCAGGCAUCACCACCAGCAUCCUUCCUCGUCGAUGCCUCUCCCUCACAGAUGAAGCUUUAUAAGGACAUAGGGAUGGCAUGCAUUGAUAGUGGAAGUUAAGGAGGACUACAAUGGCAAAUAUCAAUAAGAAAAUUUGACAAUGGAUGCAAAAACAGGACCAAAAACUGAAAAAUAGCAUCAACAAGAAUCUGCUUUUAAAUUGGUUCAAUAAAAAGAUUUCACACCAUCUCACCUUCCCAGAAGGUCCACACAAAGAACCAGAGCCAUAACAAAGAACCCAAAGCCAUAGGUAAUGCCAGGUUUCUUUUUCAAGCUACAGGCCCACAAUGUACAGAAUAUAUACAACUUAAUUUUCGCAAUGAGCCCAUGACCAUUCACAGUUACCAAACAGGUAUUCUUAAAAUCAAGAAGAAACAGAGAAAGUUAUUAGGGAAAAUCAAGCUGUUUUCUGGAAUAUAUUCUAAAGUUACUCACUGAUCAAAAUUACUAUAACCAAACAGUAGUAGAAGUAUCAGACACAGGUGUCAUAACAAACACAUGCACGAAUAGUUCGCAAAAUCCACAAAAAAGUUGGAGUAUUACUUGAAUGGCUCAGAUUUAACCCACCAUAUAUCACCAAAGUUGGAAAAUGCUUCAGGUAGGCCUUUCGGUACCAAACAACAACAACAACAACAACAACAACAACAACAACAACAACAACAAAGCCUUUCAGUCCCAAACAAGUUGGGGUAGGCAUGUGGAUAGCUAAUUUCCAUACACCCCUGCCCAUGGCUAGUUCUUUGGUGAUAUUCCAGUCCUUCAGGUCUCUCCUUACCAUCUUUCUCUCUCUCUCUUUCCUCGCCCAGCAACAAAUAGCCGCAACUGGUAACUUGCUGUGGAGCAAGGCCUCCUAGUAUAACGACUAACUGCUAACUGGGCAAAGUUGAAUGGAACCAAUCAUCUCUAUCUCAGGAUAUGUUGAAAGAUCUCCAACACCAAAGAGGAGGAAAUCAUCAUAGCCAUUCAGAAAAGAAUAGAACUCAUCAACACAACAGAAACAAAUAUGCUGUGUUCAGAACUUAAUUUGGAACACUAUGCUGAUGGCCGUAUUACUAGCAAUGAAAGAAGCAAUUUACAUUUGUUCACUUCAGAAAAAAGGAGUAACUGCAAGCCAAACAAAAACAGGACAACAGAAAUUUUCCAUUUUGGAAAAUAAGAAAAACAUAAGGUAGAAAUCCGAGUCAAAAACAAUAGUGUGUUCGACAUAUAUAGUUUGUGCAACUAUACAGGCAAAAACAAAGCCAGCUAGAAAUCAAUCCAAGCUAGGGCGGUUGGCUUCAUCACCAACAGAAGACAUCAAUCCAAGUCCAGAUGGGACGUUACUCACAUCAACACAAUAGAGAGGAAUAGAAAAGAAAAAACAAUGCGUAAUAGAGAAGGUAAAAUCGAAUAUUUGUGGCGUAGCAAAAGAGGGCUCAGUUUUGCCUUUCGUCUUCAAGCCCAACACUCACAUCUCUUGCUGCAUAAUCUACCCAUCGCGAAUGUAUAAGAACUGUCCUGGUUAUCAUUCAUCAGAAUGACCGUCCAAGGCGCAGAACAUAAAACAUUAGCAAUGAAUUGAACAGGCUGCAAGAGAGGUAAGGGUGUGCUCUAAUUUAGUACCCAUAGGCCACAGUUGUCUUAAUUGCUCAAGACACGCUUAUUUCAGCCACGGUCAUCAUCAUCGCCCCUGGUAAGAACUCCAUCUCUUCAUCACACAGUAGCAUGCAUACAUCAUCUAUCCAUCCAUCAGGCUGGUCAUAGUGGUAAGUAAAUUGUGCAUCCAUGAUAUCCAUUACAGGUAUGCACGCAUCCAUCCAUCCUCUUUAAUUACUUGUCGGAUCAUCUUUUUUGCCUAUGUGGCAUGCAUGUUACUACUCCCUCCGUUCCAUAAUUACUGUCGUGGCUUUAGUUCAAUCUGAACUAAAACCUAAGUUACUCCCACUAUGACUAGUCCCAGUCUCAGGAGCUGCUCACUGACCAAACCUCCGAGUGUGGACGACGCAUCAGACAACGCCUUACGGUUCCCAGCCCACGCCACAACUAAAUCCAAGGCAAUGGAAUGGCAGUGGCUGGCAGCACCGUAGAGACGGAGAACUGACGUGGCAGCCACCCGGGCGAUGGGGUAGCAAGUCGGCAAUGAGAGCUUGACUGGUUUGUUUUAGAGAGAGAGAGAGAGAGAGAGAGAGAGGCGAGGAGGAUCCAUACCGGAUCCAAAACAAAAUGCAACUGAACUGAGUAUAUGUAGCAUAGCAAAAGAGGGCUCAGUUUUGCAUUUCAUCUUCAAACCCAACACUCGCAUCUCUUGCUCCAUAAUCCACCCAUCGCAGUGUAAGAGAACUGCACUGGUAAUCACUCGUCAGAACGACCGUCCAAAGGGACAGAACAUCCAACAUUGGCAAUGAAUUGGACAGGCUGCAAGAGAGGUAAGGGUGGGCUCUAAGAGCAACUCCAACAAGGAUACCGAUUUUCUGGCACUGCUUAGUCCCACCUCGCCGAGCUGUCUUGAUUGCUCAAGACAUGAUUAUUUCAGCCACAGUCAUCAUCAUCGGCAUCACCCCUCUUUUUUUUCCAAAAAGGAGGUUGAACCCCCAAGCAACAUGACCAUGAUAUCCGUACAUACAUACUCCCUCCGUUCCAAACUAAGUGUCAUGGUUUUAGUACACGACACAUUAAUGCAGCCAUCCUUCUCAGGAGCUGCUCAUACCUGGCGUCGGCCGACCAAACUUCCCAGUGCGGAGCACGCAUCAGACAACACCGUGCGGUUCCUCCCAGCCCACGCCACAACCAAACCCAAGGCAAUGGAGCAGCGGUGGCUGGCGGCACUGUAGCGGUGGGGAACUGACGCUGGUCGGCGAUCCGGCAACGAGAGCUCGCCUGAUUUGGUUCUGGUGGUGUGAACUGCACGCGCGCACGCACGCACCGAGAGAGAGAGAGAGAGAGAGAGAGAGAGAGAGAGAGAUGGGGACCGUACCGGAUCCAAAGCGAAACGCAGCCAAGCUGCGAGAAAUCCAUGGACGGCGGCUCAGAUCCCGCGCCGGCCCGACCAAGCCCUCGACCGGAGCGCACCACGGGCACCAGCAGCCCGCACGGCCGCGGACGCCUCCCGCACCGGCGGCAGUCCCGAGGGGCCUGCGAGCCGAUGCGCGAUCCGUCGCAGCGGGAGGGGCUGGCCCCGAGGGAGCGGCGACGCGGCGCGUCCGUCGGUCGGUAGCUGGCCGGCGCCGGCGGCUCCCUCCGUCAUCGCCGCCGUCAGGAGAGGGACGCGGUCAUCGGCCACGGCGAGAGGGACGGGCGCGGCGGCAGGAUUCGGUGAGAUAUGGAUAGAGCGCUCGCAUGCUAUGCUCCGCCCCGCGCGCAGCCAUGCCGCCGGUGGCCUCUCGCAGCCGGAGUGGUCCGAGGCAUAGCUAGCUAGCUAGGGUUCGGCGCCGGCGGGAGAAGAUGGGUCCAGAUCCAGGUCCGGCUGUAGAUGCUGUAAAUAAGGACCAGUGAAAGGGUCAUUUAGCAAAAACAAUACUACUACUCCAAAUGCAUGGAGGGGAAGGGGAAUGAGAGCACGUGUUGAGGUGAGGGGAGGGGAAGAAGGAUGAAAGCAGCCUGAGGGGAGGGCAGGCGUGCCCUAGAGUCAGACCGAGUGCACGUGUCCCGUGUUGUGCCUUGACGGUCAGUCGAACAUAAAAAUUGAAAAAAAAAACAUACAUAAAUCUUCGUGUAAAAUCAAUGAUAGAAUUUAGAUGUGCAAUGCGUAGAGUACAUCUAGAUGUGCUUUAGCAAAAUCGUUUUCUCGUGUCCUCUCCAUCAAAGACAUUGUUUAACUUAGGCCAACCUCAACGCGGGCGCUCCAACGGACGCGGAUGUUGCCCUUUUUUGUAUGUUUGGGUUGGCUAGGCAAACGGUCAAUGUUCGAUUUUUGUCCGCCGAACCAUAGAUUAGCCCAACGCGGACGACAGAUUUCAGAAUUAUAAAAAACUAGAGCCAAGAAAAAAAAUAAUGAAAUAGCCACCAGAAGUCCAGUUUACAUAAAUUAAAAUGAAAACAUAAAAAAAAUGAAAAUGAAAACAGGCACACGGUGGAUGCAGGCAGUGGCGGCGGCGUCAUCCUUCUCGGUCAAGUCGACGUACACCGGCGCAUCCAUCCACGAAGGCUGCUAGCGCCGCGCUGCACCUGUCGCCGCCUGCUGGACCGGUUGAGUGGUGUGUACAUGUGUGUCGUCUGCUGCUUGGCUACCAACGACGCGUGUCUCGGCCUCCUACAGGUGUCGUUGCUUCUCCUCUUCGUCACGCCUAGCGGAACAGGCGUGCCCAUGAAAUUGAACGCCGCAACUCCUCGAGCACAUGCGAUGCUUGCGGGUAAACCUGGGCAAACGUCGGGCCGGGCUUGUAAAAGCCCGACCUUCAUUUCUCAAGCCCGAGCCCGGCCCGAAGCCCGAAAUACUCCCUGAAAUCAAGCCCGAGCCCGGCCCGAAAUCAAGCCCGAAGCCCGAAAGCCCGGCCCGAACGCUGUUUUUUAGUACGUGUACGUGCAAGCCCGGCCCGAAGCCCGAAAGCCCGGCCCGAAAAAUAGAAAAAGACAAGCCCGAGCCCGGCCCGAACUACCUUUCGGGCUGCAAAACAAAGCCCGAGCCCGGCCCGAGUGUCAAGCCCGGCCCAACCCGGCCCGGGUUUUUCGGGCCGGGCUCGGGCCGGGCUGCCCAUGCCCGGGUUUACUUGCGGGUGUGGCCGCGGCCCGUUGGUCUCCACGCCGGUCGUUUAACUAAUUAAUGUUGAACCUUAUACUCCCACUAUUCCUUAAUACAGUGCAUAUAUGUUAUCUUAAAAGCCAAACUUUAUUAACUUUGACCAAGUUUAUAGAGAAUAAAAUACUUUAUAUAAUAAGAUGGACUAUCUCAUAUUAUUAUGUAUGUGAUAUUGUAGCUGUAGAUAAUUUCACCCAUAAACAUGUUUAGAGUUGACUCCUAAAAUAAUUUAUAUACACUAGAAGUAUUAAGCCUAAAACCUUACACACUCAAGACCACUUGUACCAUCGUUCAGGACAAAGGCCACUUCAAAGUUAUUGAUCCUAGGCCCCACGAUCAGCAGGCAUCGGCCUGGCUCGAUGAGAAUUUUGGGGGCCAUUGCUUUGGUUGAAGGAGAUUUACAUCUCCCACAAGGACCGGACGUGAAUACCCCGCAAAAAGAAAAGGACCGGACUUGAAGCACGAGAUGUGAUGUGUCCUCAUCCUAAUACUCUUUCGCUUUAUGUAUUUUCAACUUGUCUAGAUCACUCUCAUCGGUGUUAUUAAGCCAAAUCAUCAUUUCAUCUCAAGACUCAAUCUACAUGUGCCCAUCAUGUACCCCAACAAACGAGCAUAAACCCCCACCGAACCAGCCUAGACAAAGAUUACACCAAAAAGCGACGAGUCGGCCCACUGCAUGAAAUGCAGAAGAAAAGAACUGGCUUCGUGGUGGACCAAUAUGUCAAAGCCCAAUACCGCAAACCGGAAGGCCAUGGCUUCCCUAACAAUGCUCAUCUCUUGGGUUAUUUGAAACGAGAGAAAUUCUAGUGUUUAGAAAGAAAUCCACUAACAUUGUCAUGCUUAUCCACCCCUUCUACAUUCUCAAGCUCAUCCAGGACGAGGCAAGGCUUUUGGAUCACAGCGGGAGGUAGGCAUCUGAGCAUCAUCAUGCCGCACUUUUUUGUGUUGGUAGGUGUUCGUGAUGUAUAGUUAUCUCUAUUGGGCUAUGAUGUGGAACCAAUGUGAUGUGGAGUCAAGAAUACCAACAUGAGCAAAAUCCAGUUAGGUAGUUAUCGCAGAGAAAAAUACACCCUCUGUACUAAAUUUAAGCCGUUAAUAGGCCAUUAAAUUCUAGCUCUGCAUAACCCGGCAAUCCGGCCCAUGGGCACCCGAACCGAAUAAUAUUUAUAUGUAUAGAUUGUACUCCCUCCUUCCGGGAAAAGUUGUCACCGUGGCUUUUUUGCAAAAAAAAAAACCUUUGCUUUAGUCCGACACAACCCGCACUCCUCCGCCGCUCCUCUGCUCUGCUCAGCUCUACUCAGCUCCCUCGCUCGUCCUCCGCCGCAGCUCCCCUGCUCCGCUGCCUGUCCCCUCCUCCGCCGCCUCCCUGCUCCCGGUCCAUUUCCCCGUGCAGCUCCCGCCUCCCAUACCUAAAAAUCAUGUCUUCCCCCAAUCAACGGCAGCGAGGACGAAGCGGCGCUCGAUCUAGAGGGCACGGGGACGAGGGCAGCGACAAGUGUAGUUCUUAAUGAUGCAGAGCGCGGUGGAUGCUCCGGUGGGCUUCUACGGUGAACUCCAUCCUCUCCCUCCCCACCACCAGGACCACCUCCGGUCGCUCCCUUCCGCCCCGCGCCGCAACCACCCUCCCCUUCCCAAGAACCAUCGCCAGACCAUGUUCAUGUCGUCGGAAGGCGGGAGCACCAACGGCUCGUUGCUGGGGCUUCCCCCCUGGACGAGGAGGAGGACAACGAGGCCUGCCCCGUCAAUGGUUGCUGCUGAAUUGCAGUAUUCCUCGGGUCACGACGGUUGCUGUAUGUCCCAAUGUCAAAGGUUUGACAUUUGUUGCUGCUGAAUUGCAGUAUUCCCCGGGUAACGACGGUUGCUGCAUGUCCCAAUGUCAAAGGUUUGACAUUUGUUGCUGCUGAAUUGCAGUAUUCCUCGGGUCACGACGGUUGCUGUAUGUCCCAAUGUCAAAGGUUUGACAUUUGUUGCUGCUGAAUUAUGAAUUCUCAUCCUCUUUUCUUGUUGAUGUUGAAUGCUAAAUUCCGGCGAGCAGCUCCUCAGGUCGCCGGGCUUCUGGUGAAGAUCUUCGUGUGGGUCCUCGAGAUGCCGGUGGUGGGCUGGAUCUUGCUCUACAUCCUCAAGAAGGACAAUCUCAUCAACAAGGUGCAUGCACUUGUGCUGAAUGUUUUUUUAUGCCUGAGCGUCGCAAUUCUGAUUCUCAAUUCUACUCGCAUGUGUACGAUGUUUGUUCACCUGUAGGCAUUGAUCAGUACAGUUUCACCAAAGCAAUCUCUGGGCACAGUUAUUUUACAGCAGACAAUUCACUCUUCUGUGGUGUUUUUACUUUUUGCUGAAAUGCUCUGCUGAUUCAGAAAAACCAUUAGCUGCUGUUGCUGCAGACACCCUAGCCAAAUUCAGUUAACUUAAUCUGAAUAAUUCAGUUAACUUAACAGGGGAGCGUGUGUAUGCUGCGAACGAAUGCAUUUACUGAAUGUUAUUUUGAGGGACAUGUUUUUAUCAACUCUUAGUUAAGAUAAAUUAACCGUGUAAGGUGCUCUUUUGAUUACUAGUGAAGUGCUGCUCUAAAUAUCAUUGCAGCAAGAAAAACUUCAGUUUACUACAGUUUUCAGUUUGGAAUAGUGCACAAAAGACAAAUAGAUUCCUAUGCACUAUUGUGCGCUAUUCGGAGCACAAUUCAGUGUACUGCAGUUUAUUGCAUAAUUGUGCACUUUUUUAACACAUAACUUAGUCUGAAAAAAAAUUAAAAGCAACAAUGUCUAUUCCUGCUACCCUAGUUGAUCUAGUUAUGCAAAUGUUCAGAAAUGUCCAGUUUGUACAUUUUGAAAAAAGGCUGCCAUGGCCACAAAGGAUGCCAUGCAAGAUUGUUCACUUAAACUUCACUGUACAGCAACUUAAAUUUUGUGCAUCUACUGUUUACUCCACUGUACAAACUUGAAUUUGUGUGACAUGAGCUUUUGUUGGUUGCUACUCCACUAGAUAUUGACUGAUUAGACUAAACUGUAGGAUAGUGGUGCUGGUCCAUCUAGGGCACUACUCCCAUUUUUGCUCACAAUUAUUCAGAUAAGGACUACUCCUAGUAACAAAACAGAUCAUUUACUGAAAAUAGCUCUACAUAUUUUAGCAAUAGCUCUACAUUUACUGAAAAUAAACUUGAUGUACUGAGAAGAAACUUGGGCAUUGUUUACUGAAAAUAAACUUUAUCUACUGAAAAUAAACAAUCACUGAUCAGCAGCAGUUCUCAUCACCAUGAUAAGAUAAGCCAGAUGCUCUAUUUUUAAUUAACAGUAAUCCAUGAUCAGCAGCAGUUUCUUUCACUAAUUUUCAGUUAACAACAAUCCAUGAUUUUUUUUAUCAAGUGUGAUUUUGGGUAAAUAAGCCCUCUGUAAUUUAGAUCUUUACUACUGUCAAGUCUGACUUGUCAAUGAGAAACCAGUAACUAGUCAAUGUCAAAACUGUGAAAACUGAAAACAAAUUCAGUAAAUUUGAUCUUUUAUGCUGCAUUGCUGAAAAUUGACAGUAAAUUUUCAUGUACUGAAAUGAAGGCUCAAUGCUGCAUUGCUGACUGGAUAAAUUCAUUGCUGAACAAUUUCUGAACUUUAAUUUGUUCAUUGCGUAUAUGAAGGCUCUCUAGCACAUCAGGAUGAUCCACUCAUCAAAUUACAGACUAGAUGAUCCGCUGCUACUCUAAUUCACCUCAAUUUGAUCUGCACAACAAAUUAACAUCAAUUUGACAUUGAUUUCAGGGCGCUGGCUACCUUUCAGUAGCAGCAGAGGCGGCGAGGAGGAGCUGGGUCGCCUGGACGAAGAAGAAGAAAUCGGCAAGGAGGAAAGGGUGGGCGGCGGUGGUCGCCUCUGUAGCAGGUGGGCGGCGGCGUUGGGCCCUACAGUGUUUGCGCUGGUCACCUCGGUGCACGGCAGUGGAGCAGCGGCUGCCCGAGGUCUUGCCCAACUCCCACAGCAGAGUGCCCGGCCUUGGCACGCCGGGGUUGCGACCGGAGAUGCCGGGGUUGCGACCGGAGAUGCGAGCAGAACGACGAGUAGAGCCGCCCAUGAGCCGUGGAAUCACCGCCCGUCGAGGUGUCGCCGCGGAGGAGCAGGUGGGCGGCGGCAAAGCUCGCCUCCGCAGCGCAACUAGGCAAGGGCGGCGCAAGAUGGCAGCUGCGGGGCAGGUGGGCGGCGGCGCAAGUGGGACUUCAUCACGCGGUGCUCGCAGGCGAUGGGGGGAGACGAAGGCUAGAGCAUGCGGUGCCGGCGGGCGUCAGGGGAGGAAGAAGGGCUGAUUAGAACUAGAUUUAAAAUGAAAGGUUUUUUUUGUAAAGUUACAAUUGAACUACGCUGGUGACAACUUUUCCCGGACGGAGGGAGUAUAUUGGUAGUACAGUUGCAUCGAGGGGUAACGCAUAAAGCCAAGCCACUGACGUUAGCUAUCAAAAAUUUCAUUCCAAGCCAUGACAACUAAUAUUCUCGCACUCGGUUGCAUCCAAAUGGACAAGCAUGCUACCAGAUUGACCAUAUGGAUUACAGCACCGCCAACCACUUGUAUAUAUGACUUGAACAGGCAUCAGCCCAGAGAAGGGUGGACAUAUAAAAAAGCUUCAUUGCUGCUCCAAGGCAUACUUAUUACAACUAAUCAGAAAGCAUCAUCAGAACUAAUCAGACUUGAAGUACUUCAUGGUGGUAGUUCAUACUCUUGUAGCUUGUGAUUAUCUAAUAUCAAGAUUUCUAGGCGGGCAAUUUUAUUCAUAUACGUUUCAUGAAAAUUAUGUCGUUAAAGGAGGUAGUAGUUCAAGGUAGCCCACUGAAAGCUAAGGAAUUAACCACAUAGGAGAUCAAGAUGUAGAAUACACUGAAGUUCAAAUGAACAUAUUACUGGAAAUAUCAACGGUGCAUAGAAAGGGGGCAACACACAAGAGGCAAACAUAGACAUAUAUAGGGGAGGAGUGCUGCAGAUUAGGCUGCACCCCUGUGGGCCCUGGGAGUAAGCAUGUAGGCACGCAAUAUCCAACGCAUUCAUAUGGGCAAACCCCACUCUAUAUCCGAUACACUUGGCGAUCCGCGUUGCAGAUGCUCUUACACCCCUGUGUGACAUUUCAGCAUUCAAAUGGUUGCUCACUGAAAGCAAGCCAUCCCAAUUUGCACGCUUCCACCUAGUCACACAAAACCCUAACCCUAACACAUACCAUAAAUACAAGUGAUGGUAUCUGAUCUCAAUACACCUCUGAAUGAGCCUUACUCAUCAUCGCCAUCAACAGCACUUUGGCGCAAAUCCCACAAAGAGAACAACAGAGAAGCCAAUAGUCAAAGAGCGCAAGAUGGCAAGGAACCACAGGAGAAUCAGUAAAAGCAGAAAGAAUCACUAUAUCAGGAGCAAAUCAUGAACUGGUGGACACAAAAACUGGGACAUGUAUAAGUAAAUGGCUCAGAUACACUCCCAUCUCAACACUAUAACUGAAUUUCUGGUAGAAUGACCAUGAACAUUUAUAUUUGUGAACGGAGGGAAUAACAGUUAAGAAGGGAGCCUUGGAGCAGCGGUAAAGCUGUAGCCUUGUAACCUUGAGGUCAUGGGUUCGAGUCCUGGAAACAGCCUCUUGCAGAAAUGUAGGGAAAGGCUGCGUACUAUAGAUCCAAAGCGAUUGGACCCUUCCCCGGACCCUGUGCAAGCAGGAGCUACGUGCACCGGACUGCCCUUUAGGGAGUAAUAGUUAGCCGCUAAACUGGUUACUUGCUGUGACACAAGCCAUCCUAGUUUAGCACCAAGUAAAUCGAUUCAGGUGUUAAGAUAGAAGCUCUCACAGGGAGGUUAUAUCAUCACAGCCAUUCAUGAACAUGAUACGAAGAAAACAGUAAUCUUGACAGCUGAACUUGCCCUAUACGACCCUUAAGUUGAAACCAGUAAAGAAGUAACGCGAAACCAAAAGUACAAACUGAUAAGUAGAUAAAGAGUACAAUAGAAGGAUGAAAUUAUCAAGUCAAAUAGCAAUUGAAACAAGCAAACUGACCCAGCACCAAAUAAGAUAGUUUCAAAAGCCAUCCAAGGGACAGCAGAAUUAUCAUAGCCAUUCAAGAAGAAGGAAGAAACGGAAAAAGGAAAAAAAACAGAAGAAAUAAUUAAGUGUGGCUGGAGUACUGUUCCUAAAACAACAGAACUCGUUGACUACUGCAAAACCAACAAAAUGUGUAGGAAAAAAGGAAAAACAGUCCCUUGCAUCCACCAGACCAUGAUUUUACCGAAAGAACUAAUAUCAUAACCAAACUCUCAACAUAUCUUUAACAUAUACAUGGAUGCGAGCAAGCAAGAAAUACAAAUUCUCAGAAAGGAAAAGAUCAGUUCAAAUUUUGGGAAGGAAACACUUAUUUUUACUCAGAACUUUAUUGGGCGGGAGUCUCGGAAUUGGCCAAUUUAUAGAAGGUAGUCAUGGUAUUUUUGCAACAAGAGAUUAUAAGAGGUAGAUACAGGCUUAUGACAACAUUGUGUUUUUCCACGUAUUGCCUUCUAUAAGCAAUUAAAAUGGUCAUCAGCAGAAAGCAAACCGUGCAAAUUGUAUUCCUUGAGACCAGUUAGCAGUUGCUGUGCUGGACCAAAACAGUAGAAAAGAAGUUUGACAACUUGCCAACUUGAAUGUACAUCACUGCCAAAAGAACCAGUAAAAAUUUAAUAGGGGUAGUAAAUAAGGACAUGGAAUAUGACCAAAGAACUAGCCAUGGGCAAUUGGGCAGGGGUGCGAGGAAGCUAGCUAUCCAUGUGCCAGAACCAUGAGUUGGUUGCGAGAUCCUAUGGGUUUGCUGUUUUCCAUGUGCCAGCUCUAGCCUACCCCAACUUGUUUGGAACUAAAGGCUUUGCUGUUGUUGUUGGUAGUAAAGGAGGACAUGCACAGAUCAUCUUCCGCAUAUUUAACCACUCAACAGAAUGACCAUCCAAGACAGAGCCAUCAAUAUUCGGUCAGAAUGAAAAGGUCAUAAAAGAGGGGAGAGCGUUUUUUUAAUACCCACGGCUCCUCGAAUAAUCGAAGACAGGUUUAUUGUCAGCCAAGUUUGAUCAUCAUCGCCCCUUAUAAAUAGAUAGAGAGAUCCCUUUGCGCAUGCAACAGGUAAGGGUGAAAAGUCGGUUGGACCAGAUACAGAAUAUCUGCAGCUAAGCACAGUAUCAGCAGCUGGAGGGCGAUUAGAACAUGAGGAAUAGUUCACAAAAUCCUGGGGAAUUUUUGGGGAGUACUAUUUGAAUGAGUGACUCAAACACCAUGAAUCACCAAAGUUGGGAAAUGCUUCAGGUGGUACAAAGUACUGGGAAAUUUUUGGGGAGUACUAUUUGAAUGAAUGAAGUGGUACCAUAAACAAUAAAAUAUCUGUCUCCCUCUCCCUCUCUCUCUCCAGCAACAAAUUGCCGCAACUAGUAACUUGCUGCAGCGCAAGGCCUCCUAGUUUAACGACCAGCUGUCUAACUGGGCAAAUUUGAAUGGAACCAACCUAGGAGACGUGAAAGCAUCUCUAUCACAAGAUAGUUGAAAGAUCUCCAACGCCAAGGGGCAGAAAUCACCAUAGCCAUUCAGAAAAUAAUAAAACUCAUCAACACACAACGGAAACAAAUAUGCUGUGUUCAGAAGUUAACUUGGAACACUGCACUGAUGUCCGUAUUACUGGCAACGAAAGAAGCAAUUGACAUUUGUACACUUCAGAUAAAAGGAGUAACUACAAGCCAAAUAAAAAUAGGAUGACAUAAACUUUCCGUUUUGAAACAGCAGAAAAGCAUAAGCUUGCAAAAAGGGAUGCACAUAAUACAAACAGAAAACAGGAAAUGCAGCUCGCCCGUUUAUCCCAUGAAAAAUGGGUUCUAAUGCUAAAUAGUCAGACAUGUAACACUGGAUAGUGGCAAUACUAUUCCACCAUGAAACUGAACAGCGGUCAGUCCAACCUCUGGCAAAAUGAAAACACAGCCAAAUCAAGAAUACUGAAUAAAAUUUAAAAUAUAUAAUGAGAAGAGGGCCAACCGCCAACAUAUAAAUCCCAAAUGACUCAAGCAAAAGCUCCAGGAGGACAUCCAGUUAUGAUAAGACAAAAUCAAGGUUUUUGAGUCGAUGAGUCGGCGAGUCGCUCAGGGGGGGCGACUCUAGACUAGUCGUGACUCAUGGUCGACGAGUCGACAUGCGAUGAGUCGACGUGAGUUAAGUAGUAGGGAGCAGACCAGCGGCAACUAAGGGAGGAGCCGCAGCAGCAAGAGAUGGGAGGGGCAGACCUGCAGUAGCAGCAACCAAGGGAUGAGCAGCAGCAACCAGGGGAGAAGGGGACGAGCAGCCAGCCAGCGGCAGCGGCUGCUGCAGAAGAGAGCUGGGUCGGGGGAGGGGAGUGGAACUGUUCGAUCUAGGUUUCCAGACGCUCCAAUCUUCCUUCAAUAUUGGCCCAGAAGCAAUAUUAGCCCAAUAAGGCCCAAUGAAACCCUAGCCUGCCUAGCUCAAUCUGAACCAUCUAUAUUCUCUAAUCUUCACCGUCCAUCCACUCUCUUCUUUCUCUCUCUCUCACCUGCUCCCCUUCCAGCCUCCAGGAACGAAUCGACAGCCGCAAUGGCCUUGCUGCAGCUCCUCUUCCAUGGCUUCUCUGCCUUCGCCCCUUCCUCUCCGCCUCCCCCAUCCUUCUCUGCUCCGUUUUCUACGCCCAACUCCUCUUCCAUCACAGGUUGAUCGAGUCGUUCGACUCAAAAACCGCGACUAGUCGAGACUAGUCGGGACUAGUCGAUCAAGUCGCUCGACUCAUCCAAUGAUUCGAGUCGACAGGUUGAGUCAACCUUCAUGUAACGACUCGUCGACUAGUCGACGACUAGUCGCGACUAGUCGUUCGACUCGAAAUCCAUGGACAAAAUAUAAGAGCCUUUCUAACAAAUACACUUUUGCAGUUGAUAAAUUUAUUUGACACUCAUUUCGAAUCCGUGCAAGGGAUCUGUGCCACGUUGAUGCAUCAGAAAUGUGGCAGUUAAUAUUGACAGCAGCAGCUAAAGAAUAGACUAACUACCAAUGAACUAAAUAGCAUAGAGAAUCAUAACAAAAGGUCUGCUCUGACCAAAACAAAUAUGAAGGUAAUAUGAGCUUCAGAUUAUAAAAAACAGAGACAUAGCAGAUCAAAGGGCAAUCGAUAACCAGAUGAAUAGAACUGUCAAUAGCUACAAGCAUUGGAGGAAAAAAGGGCAAUCGUUUGACUCAUAUAUAGUACGUACAACUAGAAAGGCAAAAACGAUGCCAACUAGAAACCAACCCAAGUAAAGCUAGGGUUGUUGGGUUCGUCACCAAGAGAAGAUAUCAAUCCAGAUCCGGAUCUCACAUCAACACAAUAGAGAAAUAGAAAAUUAAAAACAAUGUAUAGUGGAGAAAAAAAAACUGAGUAUUUGUAGCGUAGCAAGAGGGCUCAGUUUUGCCUUUUAUCUUGAAGCCCAACACUCACGUCUCUUGCUGCAUAACCUACCCAUCGCGAUGUAAUUGAACUGCCCUGGUUAUCACUCAUCAGAAUGACCAUCCGAGGCGCAGAACAUCCAACAUUAGCCAUGAAUUGAAUAGGCUGCAAGAGAAGUAAGGGUGAGAGCUCUUAAGGGCAUCUCCAACGCCGGCACCCAUUUGGGGCCUAUUUAGUACCCACAUGCCACGGCUGUCUUGAUUGCUCAACACAUAAUUAUUUCAGCCGCAGGCAUCAUCAUCGCCCUUUUUUUUUAAAAAAAAAAAGGUCAAACCCCCCAAGCAACAUGACCAUAACAUCCAUCAUCCAUCCAUCCAUUCAUCCAUCAGACUAGCCAUAGUGGUGAGUAACUUAGACAAUCUCAGGAGCUGCUCAUACCUGGCCUUGACCGACCAAACCUCCUGGUGUGGACGACACAUCAGACAACGCCUUACGGUUCCCAGCCACGCCACAACCAAAUCCAAGGCAAUGGACUGGCGGCGGCUGGCAGCACCGUAGAGACCGGGAACUGACAUGGCAGCUACCCGGACGAUGGGUCAGCGAGUCGGCAAUGAAAGCUUGACUGAUUUGUUUAAGGGAGAGANNNNNNNNNNNNNNNNNNNNNNNNNNNNNNNNNNNNNNNNNNNNNNNNNNNNNNNNNNNNNNNNNNNNNNNNNNNNNNNNNNNNNNNNNNNNNNNNNNNNNNNNNNNNNNNNNNNNNNNNNNNNNNNNNNNNNNNNNNNNNNNNNNNNNNNNNNNNNNNNNNNNNNNNNNNNNNNNNNNNNNNNNNNNNNNNNNNNNNNNNNNNNNNNNNNNNNNNNNNNNNNNNNNNNNNNNNNNNNNNNNNNNNNNNNNNNNNNNNNNNNNNNNNNNNNNNNNNNNNNNNNNNNNNNNNNNNNNNNNNNNNNNNNNNCUCAGUUUUGCAUUUCAUCUUCAAACCCAACACUCACAUCUCUUGCUGCAUAAUCUACCCAUCACAAUGUAAGAGAACUGCCCUGGUUAUCACUCAUCAGAAUGACCGUCCAAGGUGCAGAACAUCCAACAUUACCGAUGAAUUGAACAGGCUGCAAGGGAGGUAAGGGUGGGCUCUAAUUUAGUACCCACAGGCCAGUCAUCAUCAUCGCCCCUCAUUUUUUACCGAAAAGGAGGUUGUACCCCCGGCCUUUGCCCACCAAGCAAGAUGACCCUCAUAUCCAUACAUACAUACUCCCUCUGUAAAGAAAUAUAAGAGCGCUUAGAUCAUGCUCCCUCCGUUUCUAAAUAUAAGCCUUUAUAGAGAUUCCAAUAUGGACUACAUACGGAGCAAAAUGAGUGAAUUUACAUGCGUGCACAUGUCCACCCAUCCAACCCCAUCAGCCUCAGGAGCUACUCAUGCCUGGCCUGGACCGAACAACCAAACCUGAUGACGCCCCAGAUAACACCGUAUGGUUCCCGGCUCACGCCACAGCCAAUUCCAAGGCAAUGGAACGGCAGAGGCUGGCAGCACCGCAGCAGUGAACUGAAGAGGGCACCACCCAGACGAUUGGACAGCGAGUUGGCAAUGAGAGCUCGACUGAUUUGGCUUAGGGUUAGAGGUAGAGGGGUGGGGGUAUAUGUAGCAUAGCAAAAGAGGCUCAGUUUUGUCUUCCAUCUUCAAGCCCAAACCCUCACCAUCUCUUGCUGCAUAAUCUACCCAUCACGAUGUAAGAGAACUGCCAUGGUUAUCACUCAACAGAAUGACCAUCCGAGGCACAAAGCAACCAACAUCAGCAAUGAAUUGGACAGGCUGCAAGAGAG
rnacentral:lncRNA from 1 species